rnacentral:rRNA from 1 species
CCCUGAUGCACAAGGUACUUAUUUAAAUACUUUUUUAUUUUUAAAUUUGUCAAAAUUUUCAACUCUCCCUCACAGUUCAAAUAAUUUUAAUAAUCUAUAACCAAUACACUCACCAUAAUCCUUUUUAAAAAACGAAAAAUAUUAAAUUUUUUAAAAAUUUUUUU